GCUGGGCGUGGUGGCGCCUGCCUGUAGUCCCAACCACUCGGGAGGCUGAGGCAGAAGAAUCGCUUGAGCCCAGGAGGCAGAGGCUGCAGUGAGCUGAGAUCGCGCCACUGCACUCCAGCUUGGGCGACAGAGUGAGACUCUGUCUCAA
rnacentral:SRP_RNA from 1 species